GGAAGAGUAAUUCUUAUAAAUGCAAAUGUCUGCCAAAUCCUCACAAAAGGUGUGCAAAAAAACAAGCAGAAGCAAAAGAAAUGUUCUCAAUCCAGAUCUUGAAGGUGAUCUAUAUUUAGCAAUGGAAGUGGAACCAACAUAAGCACGACAAUUGGAUUCUACACAAGAAAAAAGCCACAUAAAAAUUCUUGUAAGAUGAGUCCAUGAAAUAAAGCAUCUGCCAGCCCUGAA
rnacentral:lncRNA from 1 species